CAUUACUAUCAGUAUCACACUAUCACAGUAUCACGACACUUGCCUUAUAUUUAAAUAACCGGAUUUCCGAUUUAUUAGCAUUUAAAAUUGUAUUAAAUAAUUAUAAUAUAAUAUUUUUUAUUACAUUAAUUUAAUUUAACACAUAAUGUCUUUAAUUUCAAAUGAACAAUUGUGAAAACCAGUUUUGUUUGUAAAGGAUUUGUAGUUUAAUCAUUGGAAAGAGAAGAAUUAAACGCUAUGUCCAACAUAGAGGGUCAAAAACUAAUAUGAACAAAACAAUAAUAACAAAGUAUUACUGCCAUCGGUCUGGAGUAUUUAAGUCUAAAAUCUAAAGGAAAAGGAGAAUGUUCAUUAGAUAACUGGAUCUUGCAAAAUUGAAAAAACUAAUGGUAGAAGUUUAUACAACACAUUGUUUUAUAGUUUUUUAUUUUUAAAUUUAGUUUUAUGCUGCCCUUCUUUUAUAAAAACUGUUGCUGAACUGAUGAAUAUGGAUGUAACAUAUUGUAAAACUCACCUACAAUUAAUAUUCAAUAUUCAAUUACUCAAAUAUUAAAGAACUAAAUUUUAUUUUGAAAUUAUACCUAUAUAUGUACUUAUAAUUAUAUUUAUAGGUAAAAUUGAUAGUGGAAUCCCGCCAAAUGUCAUAAUUGAUCAGUUCCGCAAUAAAACUGAUUAUAAUAUUGAAAAAAAAAUAUAAUUACAAGGAAAGACAUAUAUUUUUUAGAAGUUUUUCAUAAAACUUUGAAGUAUGUCUAUUUAAAAGGAAAAAAAUCAACAGCUCGUUGCUUUAUUAUGGCAUUUACUAAAAGUAGUGAGAGAUGAAAAUUUUGAACAUAUUAUUAAGUUAUGUAAUGGUGGUAAAGUUACUCAUUUUGUAAAUGCUAUUAACAGUUGACAUCGCUCUGCUCUACCAACUAAUUACAAAGUUAUUAAAAUAUCAGGUGAUACUUGGUCGGUGGCAUCUAAUUCAUUAGAAUUAGAUUAUUUAAUUAAACAGAAUGAACCAUGCUCGUGUAAGGUAAUUUGUAUUGUGUGCAAAUGUGUCCAUUUGUUUUCAUGCACAUGUUAUGACUAUAGUAUCAAAAACAACAUAUGUAAGCAUAUACAUGCCGUUUAAAUGAAUUCAAUGGUAAAUAAUAAAGAUGUAAAUAUGGAUGUAAUAUGCAAUCAUUGCAAUCAGAUAGAAAAUGAUGCAUGCAAAUGCCUGCUGCACCACAGCUUACUAUACCAUCCAGUGAUUCCAUUGCUGAUAAAAUUCACCAAUUGUAUAAUAUGUUUGUGCCACAAGCAGGUACACUCGAUAAUCAACAACUCCAAAAACUAAACACAGCAGUAGAUUCAAGUUUAAAAGUUCUAUAUCAACAAGAAAGCAACUUUAUAAAAGAUGUAGAGAAUCGAGAACCAGCCGACAAAAAUGUAGACAAAUAAGUAAUAACUACGGUUUUAUUCUACAUUUGUAUUGUUAGUGGUGACUAUGAACUAAUAAAUAAAAACAUUGAGACGUUUAUACUUAAACUGUAAAGUACAAUUUUUCCAAACCAAUUCGAUGAAUUUUAAUAAACUAACAAAUAAUUAUCACUGCAAAAUUAAAAAUCAAAUUUAAAAUGUAAUAAAAAUAAAAAUUUUAUUUUGCAUCUUUUAAAAUUUAAAAUGCAUAUAAAAUAUAAAUCGGAAAUCCGGUCUUUAGUGAUAAGGCAAGUGUCGUGAUAGUGUGAUACUGAUAGACGAUGGUAAUAAGUUAUUACUAAUAAAGUAAUAACUAAUAGUGCUGAUGAGAGGCGCUGUCUCCAGACGCUCGUUUGCAAAACCUGAUCCGUUUGAGCUUUUUGAAGCAUCUGUAUAAAUUAGCGUGUGGUCGCGGUAAUGUAAAUCAAUUAAUUCGUGAAAAUGAGAUACAAAGAUUGAGUUUUCCCUUGACUCUUGAGUUUUUGUAAAACUUGAGAAGUUCAGUAUCUAUUUAUAUUUGGCCUAUUUGGGGACCAAGUCCUAGGUUCAAGUGAGGGAAUGAAGAUUUUGUAGAUUGUAUCUAUAUUCAGAUUGAUAUUCUUCUUGAUUCGGUUGAAGUUUUCAUAGAUCAUGUUGGGUGUUUUUGCUCUAGAGUUUAGGUCGUUUAGGAAGGGAUGAUGAAAUUUGGAGGCAGAUAUAUGGUUAGACAGGUUUGAUGUCUUGAUCAUAUAUUUAUUAUAAUAUUAUAAACUAGGUAAGUAUACAAAUAAAUAACAACUAUUAUUGUACAAUAAAUUAUAAACGUAUUAAAAUAAGUGAUAAUAGUACGACUGUUGUCUAUUUAAACUUUAAAAUAAUGAAAAUGAAAUUCGUUUACAAUGGUGAUUAUGUAGAUAUAUUAGAUACAGGUAGGUAAAAUAUCAAAUAAUUAAAAUAACUUCGAUAUUUUUAAAUAUUUAAAACUAUUUACAAGUUUAUAUACAAUAUACAAUGAUUACAAAUACCUAACAGUAAUUUAAAAUGAGUUAAUAGCGAUGUAUGAUGUAUAUUGAUGUGGAAAUUAUUUUUGCCAGGUAGUAAUAUACAUACCUAAAUAAGUACGAGGUAUUAGGGUAUUAGGUAUUAGGUACGUCGUGAUCGUAUGUAUAUGAAAUAUUUUUUUUUCCUUUUUUUUUUGUUAUUUCGAUAUAGAAUAAUGAUUUAUUUUGAUCAUAGUACCGUGUAGCAGUUUUUUUUUCAUCGUGUUUCUGCUAUAGAUUGAAAUUUAAUAAUAUAUAAUUAUUAUUAUUGAAAAAAAAUAUUGAUAUUUUGAAGCAUGACGAAAAAGUUUGUUUAGAAUAGUAGUUAUUGCGGGCUAGCUAUACGAAUAAUUAUGGAAUUUCGUUUCUAAAUCGGGCAAUCAAUAGUAAUGGAAAAAAUUUAGAGCUGGAUGCUGGAUAUUGCAUGUUAUUCAGACUUUUCAGUUUCUACGAGACGUCGUGUGUUGA